GUGGGGGCUUUGGGCAGCACCGUGGGAAGCUGACACCUGAAAUCACCAUGUAUGGCCUGUGGGGUUGCUGGGCUUCUUGUGAUUUUUUUUUUUUUUUUUUUUUUUUGCAUACCCCAGGGAUCCAGAUGGCUGAGGUUACUGGGUGAGUGGCUCUGGGCCCAGAAAGAUGCUGCUGUGCUUCUUCAUUCUUGCCCCGUAGACUGUGCUACCCCAGAUCCAAGGAGGCCAAGAUCCUCCUCGGGGAAGCAUGUCCAGGCCUGGGGAUGGGGCUGCAGGAGGAGCAGGGGUCACACUCAAGCCCCAAGGGGGCCACCAUGCCAACAGGACAAUUCUGGACGAGGCCAGCUGUCUCCGGGGAAAAACUGGCUGGGGCCUCCAGUCCCCCGAGCCCUCAAAGGCGGUCAGAAGCGGCGGGGCGAUGGCGAAGCCCGAGGCCAAGCAGUCCACCUCCAAGCCGUGAACUCCCUGUGAAGGAACAGAAAGAGCCACACAUGCUCCUGCUUGGGAAUGGAUGUGCGAGUCACGCGGCUGUGCCGGAUAAGCAGCGGGCUGGCCGGCGGGCCCGACCCCUCCUCGGACACAUCCAGGCCCGUCGCCCACCCCGCCCCUCAGCCCCA
rnacentral:lncRNA from 12 species